UGGGGAAUAUUGCACAAUGGGCGCAAGCCUGAUGCAGCAACGCCGCGUGAACGAUGAAGGUCUUCGGAUCGUAAAGUUCUGUUGCAGGGGAAGAUAAUGACGGUACCCUGUGAGGAAGCCCCGGCUAACUACGUGCCAGCAGCCGCGGUAAUACGUAGGGGGCUAGCGUUAUCCGGAUUUACUGGGCGUAAAGGGUGCGUAGGUGGUCUUUCAAGUCGGUGGUUAAAGGCUACGGCUCAACCGUAGUUAGCCUCCGAAACUGGAAGACUUGAGUGCAGGAGAGGAAAGUGGAAUUCCCAGUGUAGCGGUGAAAUGCGUAGAUAUUGGGAGGAACACCAGUAGCGAAGGCGGCUUUCUGGACUGCAACUGACACUGAGGCAUGAAAGCGUGGGUAGCAAACAGG
rnacentral:rRNA from 1 species